CAGCAGAGCACGUCGCUUCAACCUUACGACACUUCACGACGCGCCUCACACUCACGGGGCCGCACAAAAAGGAGUGCUCUGACGUCCUCUGUUGGCUACAUUGCUGAAUUGAACUGUCCACUCGAUAUCCUCUUGUUCAUCAUAGGCCUGUUCCUGCUUCAUAGACACGUUCUAGGCUAUUACUACAUGGCAACCGGUGGAUAAACUUGGCCGCUCUUGAAUUGUUCUGCAAUGUGUCGGCCUAUCCAGUAAGGAGGAAGUAUGUUGCACUCAUUUGUGUGUGGGCGAGAUCUUUUUCAUAACCAACAACUUUUAUACGCUAAUGCAUGUCUCUGUGAGUGUUUCCACAUGUUGAAAUUUAGUAGCACUUACAAUCGUUGUAAUCACCUAAUUUGAAUUUGAACUGAAUAUAUGAGUAGCCUACUAUUGAAAACAAAUUAUUUCAGGUAAUCUAAAAUACAGGAAUAUUUUCAUGGGGUUGAAUAAAAACGUAUUUGUGGGGGAUUGCAUUUGGAAAGUAUAAAAAUGAAACAUAAUGUUUUAUGUGAAUUUUCAACAAAUGUCCGGAUGUCUGGCUACAUACUUGAUCUUACAUGCUCACAGUUGGGGUGCAAAGGGAGAAUUUGCUGAGCAGCAAUCCAGGAGACCUCUCUUUCUCUCUCUCUCUCUCUCUCUCUUUCUCUCUCUCUCUCUCUCUUUCUCUUUUUAGGGAUCAAGCUCAUUCUGUCAGUCUGUGGUCUGUUUGUCAGUCUCUCUCACUUUUACCCCUCAUUGAUAUGUGCAUUUGUAUUGAUGAAAUGUCUGUUAACCAGCUAAAUCUAGGGCUGCUAUUAGCCGUCCAUUGUCUGUUUUGAAUAUAGAAAAAAAUAAAAUAAAUAAAUUAAAUAUUGGGAUAGGCCUCUAAUGGAAACACCAAACGUGCUGGCGUAACACUGGGUGACAAGGGCACCUUGGGUUUGCAGAUGUUCGCAUGGAUGACAGAUGGUGCUGGCGCGGCUCAGGGAGAGAUGGCAGGCCUUCUGCGCCAGCUUUGUGCCACCUGCACCCCCUCUUCAGCUCCCCGUCUAUCUACACAAUACCCCGACAGGGUGUGGCAUGGUGUGGCGGGCACUGUUGUUGUUUCCCUCUUAGCCACAGCUUCGCUGGAACGGAGGCAAGCUGAUUGCCUCAGUGUCCUACAGAGCCUCUGCACCCCGGCACUAACUGGAGCUCCAUGUGGUACAUCCAUUAUGGUAAAGCUCUCUGUGGCUCCCCGCUGAACACCUCCCUCCUCCUCCUCCUCCCUUUCCAAACCAUGCUUACGUCUGUGUUCCAGAAUUGGGCCCCCUUCCAAUCUGAACAUUAGUUGGAUUCGGUUUGAUGUGAUGGGCUGGGUUGGCGAUGUAUUUGUACUCCUGCAGGGGAGCACAGCAAACAAGGAGGAAUCUUUACCUCGGAUCAACGGCAGGGUCUCUGCACGGAGCCACUUCCAGGUGCCGUCUGGCCAUCCCCAUUGGCCUGACCGGGUCCACCUCUGAGGCUUUUCCCUGUGCGAGAGUUGUCUAGUACAGACAUAUGAACAUUUGGUCGGCAACUCCCAGCUUCCAGUUCAAUACUCGUGUGUUUAUGCCUGACAUUAAUUAGCUUUCUCCCUCUCCAUAAUUAAAUAAUCCUCAUGAAUGGGUAAUUGGAGCCCUCUGCAUGUACAGAGUCUUGUUCAUGCACAAGGACAGGAUGUAAAAUCAUUUCAACAGCAGAAAAAUCAAUAGCAUAAACAGCUGGGCCAACACACGUAUUACAAGGAAUUCUACUAUUUUAUAGUUUUAAGUCAACCCAUACAGGAAAACCGCUAUUUUUAGCACCAAUGUACGGUGCUAUUUCAUUUGACUUUGUCCUUGUUCUUCUUUCUCUCUGCAAAUAGAAGGGGCUUUGCCGCCAAAUCCUUGUAUGGUGCCAAAUCCAGAGGAAUGCAUUCCAUUGUUUAUCUAUGACUUGGGAAAACUAUAUUCUUUUGUUUACAGUAACGUGGUUUGGCUCCAUGCAAAUGCUGACUGUGCUUUUUAAAUGCUGCCAAAUGUUUUAGCGUCUCUCUCUCUCUCGUUCUCUCGCUGUGUGUGUGUGUGUGUGUGUGUGUGUGUGUGUUUGUGUGUGUGUGUGUGUGCGCGCAUCAUGCUUUUCUGUCCAUCUAUUAAUCAGAAUGAAAAGAGAGAGGGCUGACAUAACGAGUUGAAAUAGCAAAGAAAUUAAUAAUUCAGACAUUGAUGACAACAUUAUGUUUAUGGACAUGCCAAUGUGGCAAUGCACAUAGACAGACAGCAGACGGAACUGAGAAAUUUGAGAAAUGUGAAGGGUGGACAUACAUUUUGCAAACAUCUCGGUUAAUUUUGCAUGAACUAAUAGAAAAUGUGGAGGCAUUUAAAUAUUUGAUCACACGGCCAUAUGGAUAGGCUCACUGGGUACGCUCAAUGGGGUUAGCCCACAGUGCACAACCCAGAUAAUCCCAGCUCUCCUCCUCUCCAUAGGGCGCCAUGCACAGCGCACCAGCACAGCCCAACUACCCAUCAGCUCCUCCACCCCCCUGUGAGGGCCCAUUGUGUGCCAAAAGAUUUCCCACACAUCUGAACUCCUGAGAAUCAGCGUUGAGGAGGGACACGGCCAUGGUGACCUCGAUCCCAAAACUCCGUCACAGCUGAUACGAGCGGAACGAGAGGGUUGUCAAACCAGUCAUUUAUGUCAACACUGGAGGGCUAGCUCGGUUCACAGAUAUACACUACUCUUUUGACCAGGUUAUCACAGAAACAUGUUAACCGGGGAGGUAGACACAAACACAAGCAUGUUUUUUUUAUAUCAUUCAAAUAUAUUCACACAAGUGCAUUCAACCACUCCUCACAUCAAUUUCUUGUCUUUUUUAUUUAAUGAAUUAUCUGCUACGUUUGUCCCACCCACUCAGCAUGGAUAAACCUGUGCAUUCCUCAUCCUUCGGAUUUGGAGCGCUAACGAGGCCUAUUUGCCAGCGAGUGACGUUGAGUUGAUCCCUAAAGCUCUCUGCUUGGCACCAAACAUGCCCAAAUGAAGCCCAUGUCAUGCCCACCCCCGCCCUUGCCCCUCUCCUCCCCCUGCCAUGGGAACCAUACAUCUUUAAUGACGACGGAGGGCUUUGCACGCUCUGUGCCACACAAAAGCUGUGGCAUCUGUCUCACUAAGUACUGCACUCAAGAGCACAACCCCCCCUUCCCCCACCCCAACCCAAACCUCCACUCCAUUUGUUUCCAUCUCUCCUUC